rnacentral:rRNA from 1 species
UACGGAAGGCAGCAGGGGGAAUAUUGCACAAUGGGCGCAAGCCUGAUGCAGCCAUGCCGCGUGUAUGAAGAAGGCCUUCGGGUUGUAAAGUACUUUCAGUCGUGAGGAAGGUGUUAAGGUUAAUAACCUUAGCAAUUGACGUUAGCGACAGAAGAAGCACCGGCUAACUCCGUGCCAGCAGCCGCGGUAAUACGGAGGGUGCGAGCGUUAAUCGGAAUUACUGGGCGUAAAGGGCACGCAGGCGGUUAAUUAAGUUGGAUGUGAAAUCCCCGGGCUUAACCUGGGAAUGGCAUUCAAGACUGGUUAGCUAGAGUCUUGUAGAGGGGGUAGAAUUCCAUGUGUAGCGGUGAAAUGCGUAGAGAUGUGGAGGAAUACCGGUGGCGAAGGCGGCCCCUGGGACAAAGACUGACGCUCAUGUGCGAAAGCGUGGGGAGCAAACGAGGGAUUAGAUACC